AGUGAACGCUGGCGGUAGGCCUAACACAUGCAAGUCGAACGGCAGCACAGAGGAGCUUGCUCCUUGGGUGGCGAGUGGCGGACGGGUGAGGAAUACAUCGGAAUCUACUCUGUCGUGGGGGAUAACGUAGGGAAACUUACGCUAAUACCGCAUACGACCUACGGGUGAAAGCAGGGGAUCUUCGGACCUUGCGCGAUUGAAUGAGCCGACGUCGGAUUAGCUAGUUGGCGGGGUAAAGGCCCACCAAGGCGACGAUCCGUAGCUGGUCUGAGAGGAUGAUCAGCCACACUGGAACUGAGACACGGUCCAGACUCCUACGGGAGGCAGCAGUGGGGAAUAUUGGACAAUGGGCGCAAGCCUGGUCCAGCCAUACCGCGUGGGUGAAGAAGGCCUUCGGGUUGUAAAGCCCUUUUGUCGGGAAAGAAAUCCAUCUGGUUAAUACCCGGGUGGGAUGACGGUACCCAAAGAAUAAGCACCGGCUAACUUCGUGCCAGCCGCCGCGGUAA
rnacentral:rRNA from 1 species